GUUGAACGCUGGCGGCAUGCCUAACACAUGCAAGUCGAGCGGAUGAAGGGAGCUUGCUCCUGGAUUCAGCGGCGGACGGGUGAGUAAUGCCUAGGAAUCUGCCUGGUAGUGAGGGAUAACGUCCGGAAACGGGCGCUAAUACCGCAUACGUCCUGAGGGAGAAAGUGGGUGAUCUUCGGACCUCACGCUAUCAGAUGAGCCUAGGUCGGAUUAGCUAGUUGGUGGGGUAAAGUCCUACCAAGGCGACGAUCCGUAACUGGUCUGAGAGGAUGAUCAGUCACACUGGAACUGAGACACGGUCCAGACUCCUACGGGAGGCAGCAGUGGGGAAUAUUGGACAUUGGGCGAAAGCCUGAUCCAGCCAGGCCGCGUGGGUGAAGAAGGUCUUCGGAUUGUAAAGCACUUUAAGUGGGGAGGAAGGGCAGUAAGUUAAUACCUUGCUGUUUUGACGGUACCAACAGAAUAAGCACCGGCUAACUUCGUG
rnacentral:rRNA from 1 species